rnacentral:rRNA from 1 species
UGGGGAAUAUUGGACAAUGGGCGCAAGCCUGAUCCAGCCAUGCCGCGUGAGUGAUGAAGGCCCUAGGGGUGUAACGCUCUUUUACCGGUGAAGAUAAUGACGGUAACCGGAGAAGAAGCCCCGGCUAACUUCGUGCCAGCAGCCGCGGUAAUUCGAAGGGGGCUAGCGUUGUUCGGCGUUACUGGGCGUAAAUCGCACGUAGGCGGACUAUUAAGUCAGGGGUGAAAUCCCGGGGCUCAUCCCCGGAGCUGCCUUUGAUACUGGUAGUGUUGAGUUCGUGAGAGGUGGGUGGAAUUCCGAGUGUAGAGGUGAGAUUCGUAGAUAUUCGGAGGAACACCAGGGGCGAAAGCGGCUCUCUGGCUAGAUACUGACGCUGAGGUGCGAAAGCGUGGGGAGCAAACAGG